rnacentral:rRNA from 1 species
GUUUGAUAUGGCUCAGGAUGAACGCUGGCGGCGUGCUUAACACAUGCAAGUCGAACGAAGCACUUUUACAGAUUUCUUCGGAAUGAAGUUUAGUGACUGAGUGGCGGACGGGUGAGUAACGCGUGGGUAACCUGCCUCACACUGGGGGACAACAGUUAGAAAUGACUGCUAAUACCGCAUAAGCGCACAGGACCGCAUGGUCCAGUGUGAAAAACUCCGGUGGUGUGAGAUGGACCCGCGUUUGAUUAGCUAGUUGUGGGGUAACGGCCUACCAAGGCGACGAUCAGUAGCCGGACUGAGAGGUUGAACGGCCACAUUGGGACUGAGAUACGGCCCAGACUCCUACGGGAGGCAGCAGUGGGGAAUAUUGGGCAAUGGGCGCAAGCCUGACCCAGCAACGCCGCGUGAAGGAAGAAGGCUUUCGGGUUGUAAACUUCUUUUGUCAGGGACGAGCAGAAGACGGUACCUGACGAAUAAGCCACGGCUAACUACGUG